GGACCCGUAGUGUAAUGGAUAUCAUUCAGGCCUCCGGAGCCUGCGAUCCGGGUUCGAAUCCCGGCGGGUUCA
rnacentral:tRNA from 1 species